UUGAACGCUGGCGGCAUGCCUUACACAUGCAAGUCGAACGGCAGCACGGGGGCAACCCUGGUGGCGAGUGGCGAACGGGUGAGUAACAUAUCGGAACGUGCCCUGGAGUGGGGGAUAACUAGUCGAAAGACUAGCUAAUACCGCAUACGAUCUACGGAUGAAAGUGGGGGAUCGCAAGACCUCAUGCUCGUGGAGCGGCCGAUAUCUGAUUAGCUAGUUGGGGGGUAAAGGCCUACCAAGGCAUCGAUCAGUAGCUGGUCUGAGAGGACGACCAGCCACACUGGGACUGAGACACGGCCCAGACUCCUACGGGAGGCAGCAGUGGGGAAUUUUGGACAAUGGGCGCAAGCCUGAUCCAGCAAUGCCGCGUGAGUGAAGAAGGCCUUCGGUUGUAAG
rnacentral:rRNA from 1 species